rnacentral:rRNA from 1 species
AUUGAACGCUGGCGGCAUGCCUUACACAUGCAAGUCGAACGGUAACAGGUCUUCGGAUGCUGACGAGUGGCGAACGGGUGAGUAAUACAUCGGAACGUGCCUAGUAGUGGGGGAUAACUACUCGAAAGAGUGGCUAAUACCGCAUGAGAUCUACGGAUGAAAGCAGGGGAUCGCAAGACCUUGUGCUACUAGAGCGGCCGAUGGCAGAUUAGGUAGUUGGUGGGAUAAAAGCUUACCAAGCCGACGAUCUGUAGCUGGUCUGAGAGGACGAUCAGCCACACGGGGACUGAGACACGGCACAGACUCCUACGGGAGGCAGCAGUGGGGAAUUUUGGACAAUGGGCGAAAGCCUGAUCCAGCAAUGCCGCGUGCAGGAUGAAGGCGUUCGGGUUGUAAACUGCUUUUGUACGGAACGAAAAGCCCCGGGUUAAUACCCUGGGGUCAUGACGGUACCGUAAGAAUAAGCACCGGCUAACUACGUGCCAGCCGCCGCAGUAA